rnacentral:rRNA from 1 species
AUUGAACGCUGGCGGCAUGCCUUACACAUGCAAGUCGAACGGUAACAGGUCUUCGGAUGCUGACGAGUGGCGAACGGGUGAGUAAUGUAUCGGAACGUGCCCAGUCGUGGGGGAUAACGCAGCGAAAGCUGUGCUAAUACCGCAUACGAUCUAUGGAUGAAAGCGGGGGAUCGCAAGACCUCGCGCGAUUGGAGCGGCCGAUAUCAGAUUAGGUAGUUGGUGGGGUAAAGGCCCACCAAGCCAACGAUCUGUAGCUGGUCUGAGAGGACGACCAGCCACACUGGAACUGAGACACGGUCCAGACUCCUACGGGAGGCAGCAGUGGGGAAUUUUGGACAAUGGGCGAAAGCCUGAUCCAGCCAUGCCGCGUGCAGGAUGAAGGCCUUCGGGUUGUAAACUGCUUUUGUACGGAACGAAAAGGUCUUUUCUAAUAAAGAAGGCUCAUGACGGUACCGUAAGAAUAAGCACCGGCUAACUACGUG